UACGUAGGGUGCGAGCGUUAAUCGGAAUUACUGGGCGUAAAGCGUGCGUAGACGGUUUUGUAAGUCUGAUGUGAAAUCCCCGGGCUCAACCUGGGAAUUGCAUUCGAGACUGCAAGGCUUGGGUGCGGAAGAGGGAAGCGGAAUUUCCGGUGUAGCGGUGAAAUGCGUAGAUAUCGGAAGGAACAUCAGUGGCGAAAGCGGCUUCCUGGGCCAGCACUGACGUUCAGGCACGAAAGCGUGGGGAGCAAACAGG
rnacentral:rRNA from 1 species